AUUUCUGAAAGAGAUAGCAUUGUAGAUCUGGACGUUUCAUCACAUAUUCCCAGGAAGGCCCAGCCAAAUGCAGCUGGCACUGUGCCAGACAUUGGGCUAGGUGCUGGGAAUUGAAAUAAUAAACUAUUUCCUGAUUUCUCUUCUCUCUUCUGGAGAAAGAAUUGGAUUAGAACAAGAAUCUAGCUCAGUGCCUGGCUCAGAACAACUCCAUUGAAUGAAUCAUCCAUAGAGGCCCUUACAUCAUGCUAUGGGAAUGCAACAGAAGGAGCAGUGAACUGUGCUUGGAGGAGUUGCCUUGGAAGCUGAAGCAUGUAUACCAAAUAGAGGAACAUCAGGGCAGGGCAAGGGUUGGUUCAUAGCUGGUCGCCAGAAUAGAAUGCUCAAAGGUACAGGGGCCUGAGAAGUGGUGGAAAGGUUGGCAGGUUUGGGAAAUUUGAGGAUACCUGAGAGGAUGCACUGUGGGAUGUGGUGGUUUGCUGUUAUUAUUGUUAUUGUUAAACCAGAAGAAGAGGCUAUGAGUUAGUCAGGGGCUGUGUGUUAAAAGGCCUGGCAAUUCAUGC
rnacentral:lncRNA from 1 species